UGCCAGCAGCCGCGGUAAUACGGAGGGCGCAAGCGUUGUUCGGAAUCACUGGGCAUAAAGAGCACGUAGGCGGUCAAUUAAGUCGGAUGUGAAAUCCCACAGCUUAACUGUGGAACUGCAUACGAUACUGGUUGACUUGAGGAUGGCAGGGGUGAGUGGAACUCCAGGUGGAACGGUGAAAUGUUUAGAUAUCUGGAGGAACACCGGUGGCGAAAGCGACUCACUGGGCCAUCACUGACGCUGAGGUGCGAAAGCUAGGGUAGCGAACGGGAUUAGAUA
rnacentral:rRNA from 1 species